rnacentral:lncRNA from 1 species
AAGAUACGAAGUACAUCAUCUAUGGAGUGUUGUUUUUCAUGUUUUUCAUGUUUUCAUCAAUAAUUGUCGUGUAUGUGAGAAAAAUGUAGAAGGUUAUCGAUCCCUAGAUUGCAUAUGCCUUCUAUUCCCUAUGUUUUCAAUAAUAUGUAAUUGUGUCGUGAUAUUUUACGUUCAACCAUUGAAGUUACUUUGUGCCUAGCUAUAUUACAUAGUAUCAACCAUUUUACCAAACUAUUUGAUUAAUAUUCACAUAAAAAUUCAAUCUAAAAGACGAGACUGAAAAAACAUGUUAAAUUCAACGAAUUUAAUUAUGUGUUAUAUGAGUUUUUGCAGGCUAUUUAAGUAAAAAUAUAUAAAAAAAGAUGCAUUGUUUAUAUUUUUUUAAUCAUAUCUCUGAUAAAUGAUACAAUAUUCACUAAAAAUAUCUGAUUGAAUCAAUAAACAACAGAUGAUGGUUUUGGUUGGUCAUAUAGCUUACGGUUUUGUGUGUAUCAGAUUUAUCCCUACUAUAGUAAAAGAGAAGUACACAAGGGAUUCGGGUCGGUUUUUUUAAAGAAUUCCGAGUUAAAUUUUCAAUCGGAUAGUUGCCAUUAUUAAACUAAGAAAAAAGACAGCUUAUUUUAAGGAAUUAUGGUAAAAAUUACCUAAAAUAGAUCUCAAUCUUUAGAAAAAUAUUUAAAUAUGUAAAUUAUACCACAAUCUUGUGAUUUUAUUGUUAAUCGAUUCAAAAUUUUAUUAAAUAUCAUAACUAUAAAAUCUUAAUAGUUACGAUUUAGUUAUUUAAAUAUAGAAUAUGAAUUUUUGAAAUAUGAAAAAUUUUAAAUAGAAAAUGCAUGAUUCAAAUAAUAAAAUUACAUAUUUGUUAAAAAUAGGUGGUGUAUAAAAAAUCUAAGAGUGAACAUUUAUUUACCUAAAUAUAUGAAGAUUUAAAAAAUAUAUAUAUAACCAAAAAAGAGAUUGCUAUAUAAAAAGUAAAAAAAAACGUAUUUACUAUUUAAAAAUUAAGUGUAUAUAUAGCAAAAUCUAACACCAUUUUAUAUAUGACAAAAAAAAAAC